GUCCAGGGUAGCCUAGUGGUCAUGCUAUCUGCCCAGUAAGCGGAAGGUCGUGGGUUCGAUUCCCAUCCCUUGACA
rnacentral:tRNA from 1 species